rnacentral:rRNA from 1 species
GACGAACGCUGGCGGCGUGCUUAACACAUGCAAGUCGAACGAAGUGGCGAACGGGUGAGUAACGCGUAAUCAACCUGCCCUUCAGAGGGGGACAACAGUUGGAAACGACUGCUAAUACCGCAUACUGAAGGAGGGGAUUGCGUCUGAUUAGCUAGUUGGAGUGGUAAUGGCCCACAAAGGCGAUUAUCAGUAGCCGGUCUGAGGGAAUGAACGGCCACAUUGGUACUGAUACACGGCCCAAACUGCUACGGGAGGAAGCAGUAGGGAAUCUGCCGCAAUGGGCGCAAGCCUGACGGGGCAACGCCGCGUGAGUGAAGAAGGUUGUCGGAUCGUAAAGCUCUGUUGUAAGAGAAGCGGUAUCUGACCAGAAAGCCAGGGGUAACUACGUGCCAGCAGCCGCGGUAAUAC